rnacentral:rRNA from 1 species
AUUGAACGCUGGCGGCAGGCCUAACACAUGCAAGUCGAGCGGAGCGGCGGACGCGUGAGUAAUGCCUAGGAAUCUGCCUGUGCGUGGGGGAGAAAGUCCGGAAACGGGAGAUACUACCGCAUACUCUACGAUGAGUCUAGGUCGGAUUAGCUAGUUGGUGGGGUAAAGGACUACCAAGGAGACGAUCCGUAGCUGGUCUGAGAGGAUGAUCAGUCACACUGGAAAUGAGACACGGUCCAGACUCCUACGGGAGGCAGCAGGGGGGAAGAUUGGACAAUGGGCGAAAGCCUGAUCCAGCCAUGCCGCGUGUGUGAAGAAGGUCUGCGGAUUGUAAAGCACUUUAAGUUGGGAGGCGUUACCAACAGAAUAAGCAACGGCUAACUACGUGCCAGCAGCCGCGGUAAGUC